AUGAUAUUACGUAGUUCUGAGGGCAACAUAAUUUUUUCAUCUUGCCGAUUCCUGCACACCUGCUGCAGCGCGCUCGAAGCUGAAGUCGCUGCCUGUGCAGAAGGCUUGGCUCUUGCUCUGGAGUGGAGUAAGGAGCCGUUCAUCCUUGAAUCAGACUGCUCCGUUGCUGUCAACAUGCUAAAGGAUGGGGAACCAAAUAGGUCCCCGAUGGCAGCCAUGGUGGAGGAAGCAAAACUACUACUGAAAUCUGGACGUGAAGUUGUGCUGUUACAUGUGAGACGAGGCCAAAAUCCUGUAGCUCACACCCUUGCUCAGAUGGGCAGGGUUUCUUCUCGCACUGCCGUCUGGCUCCGUCACGGACCAGAUGAAAUUAGCCAGUUGUGCCAGUUAGAUUGUAAUGAACCUCCUUGA
rnacentral:rRNA from 1 species